GUGAAUCAUCGAAUCUUUGAACGCACAUUGCGCCCGCUAGUAUUCUGGCGGGCAUGCCUGUUCGAGCGUCAUUUCAACCAUCAAGCCCCAGGCUUGUGUUGGAGCCCUGCGGCCGCCCGCAGCCUCCUAAAAUCAGUGGCGGGCUUGCAAACACCCCGAGCGCAGUAGUUUACUCUUCUCUCUGGCGUGUAGCAGGUUCCGGCCGUGAAACCCCUCUAUAUUUUAAGGUUGACCUCGGAUCAGGUAGGAAUACCCGCUGAACUUAAGCAUAUCAAUAAGCGGAGGA
rnacentral:misc_RNA from 1 species